GACGAACGCUGGCGGCGUGCUUAACACAUGCAAGUCGAACGGUAAGGCCCUUCGGGGUACACGAGUGGCGAACGGGUGAGUAACACGUGGGUGAUCUGCCCUGCACUUCGGGAUAAGCCUGGGAAACUGGGUCUAAUACCGGAUAGGACCACUGCCUGCAUGGGUGGUGGUGGAAAGCUUUUGCGGUGUGGGUUGGGCCCGCGGCCUAUCAGCUUGUUGGUGGGGUGAUGGCCUACCAAGGCGACGACGGGUAGCCGGCCUGGGAGGGUGACCGGCCACACUGGGACUGAGAUACGGCCCAGACUCCUACGGGAGGCAGCAGUGGGGAAUAUUGCACAAUGGGCGCAAGCCUGAUGCAGCGACGCCGCGUGAGGGAUGACGGCCUUCGGGUUGUAAACCUCUUUCAGCACCGACGAAGCGCAAGUGACGGUAGGUGCAGAAGAAGGACCGGCCAACUACGUGCCAGCCGCCGCAGUAA
rnacentral:rRNA from 1 species